rnacentral:rRNA from 1 species
UACAGAGGGUGCAAGCGUUGUUCGGAAUUAUUGGGCGUAAAGCGCGUGUAGGCGGCUUUGCAAGUCGGGUGUGAAAGCCCUCGGCUCAACCGAGGAAGUGCGCCCGAAACUGCAGAGCUUGAGUGUGGGAGAGGCUCGUGGAAUUGCAGGUGUAGCGGUGAAAUGCGUAGAUAUCUGCAGGAACACCCGUGGCGAAAGCGGCGAGCUGGACCACUACUGACGCUGAAGAACGAAAGCUAGGGGAGCAAACAGG